rnacentral:lncRNA from 9 species
GCCCCAGCUGGUGGGGGACUCGAGGAAAGGACGGGGAUGGCCGUGGGAGCCAGUGGAAUUGCACAUCGGCCUCUUCCCACACAGCCCCUUCAAGUUGGACACAUUUCCUCUCCAGCCUCCUGAACAAGGUGGACUGGAGCAGUGGGGCCCUGCGCCUCUGCUGUCAGAAGCUGCAGGAACCUGAAAAUGCUGGACCUGGACUUCAUCCAGGAGCUGGAGGUAUUCGACUGGUACCAGGCGCUGUCGGAGCAGAGACUGUUUGCCACCCAGCUGGGCCAGAUCUGCAACCAGUAGGUCAGCCUCAAGCUGGCCUACCACCACUGGGCCUUCUCGGCAGAGGACAAGCAGUCAUCCAGCUACUUCCUGUCCCAGCUCAGCAGGCUGGGCCAUCUGCAGAAGCUCCAGCUAUCCUACUCCUACCUCUCAGGCAACCUGCACCAAGUGCUCGGCUGCCUUCAGAUGCCGCUGCCAGCCCUGGAGAUCCGCUCCUACCCACUUCUGGAUGCCGACAUCACCUUCCUGUCCUAGAGCUCUCACGCCGACCACCUGAAGAAGCUGGAUCUGAGUGGCAACAGCCUGUCCCACAUGGUCCCCGGACCCUUGGAGACUCUCCUGGAGUAGGUCUUGGGGAUGCCGCAGCACUGGGACCUGAACCACUGCUGGCUGAAGGACGCACACCUGGGUGCCAGCCUGCCCACCCUGCACUGCUGCUCCCACCUCAGCUCCCUGGGCCUGUUCAACAACCCCGUGUCCAGGACCGGCCUGCGGAGCUUGCCAGAGCCUGUGGGCAGCCGUCGGGAGCUGAAGCAGGGCAGGAGGAGGGCUCUGUUUGGGAUGCAGCUACAGUCCUUGCGUUCCUUUCUCUGCACUGUGCGAGCAGGGGGCCAGCAUCAUUCCUCAAAGCUGCC